rnacentral:rRNA from 1 species
UACGUAGGGGGCAAGCGUUGUCCGGAUUUAUUGGGCGUAAAGCGCUCGCAGGUGGUUCGCUGCGUCGUGCGUGAAAGCCCCCGGCUCAACUGGGGAGGGUCACGCGAUACUGAUCGACUCGAAGGCAGGAGAGGGUAGUGGAAUUCCCGGUGUAGUGGUGAAAUGCGUAGAUAUCGGGAGGAACACCAGUGGCGAAGGCGACUUCCUGGCCUGUUCUUGACGCUGAGGCGCGAAAGCUAGGGGAGCAAACGGG